CAGGAAUUUACCUCUUUUAACCUGUGCACUCUGCAAUGCAGCGACAUGAUGUCUGUACGUCUCCUCGGCCCAGAUCUUGGGAAACUUGACUGUUUUGGUGUGCAUCAGAGAGACAUCUGGAUUCUUCUCCUGGAUCUGGCCUCGCUGACAGGAAAUGUCCUCUGACGAUCACAUGGCCCUGCCGAGGUGGAAGGAACUUUUCUACAAGUGGCUGUCCUGAGCUUGGGGAAUAGAAAGAUGAGGAAGACAUACACGCGUCUUGUAAUGAGCUUACGACCCAACAUACAUGCCGUCUUGUCAAGCAACUUGUAGUUUUCGGACGCACUAAAUAUUGCAAAAGAAAGCAGAAACCAUUUAUUUUGCAACCACUAAGCUAAUGUGUUCAAGCAACAAUUAAUCUUCUGCGGCCAAAAGUUGUAUGUAUCCAUAUAAAUAGAUAUAAAUAAAUGUUUGCAUAUGUAUCUGUAUUUUCAAUCACUCUGUCUCUUACAUUAUGUCAAAGUCUGGCCAUGAGGAGGAAGAAAAGACAAGGAUAAUUUAUAUUACGUGUGAAAUAAAAACACUAAUAAAAAGAUUGCCAAAAUGAAUCCCAUCAAACCAAAUUGUACUUAUAC